GACGAACGCUGGCGGCGUGCUUAACACAUGCAAGUCGAACGGUAAGGCCCUUCGGGGUACACGAGUGGCGAACGGGGGAGUAACACGUGGGUGAUCUGCCCUGCACUUCGGGAUCAGCCUGGGAAACUGGGUCUAAUACCGGAUAGGCAUCCUGACUGCAUGGGUGGGGGUGGAAAGCUUUUGCGGUGUGGGAUGGGCCGGCGGCCGGUCAGGUUGUUGGUGGGGUGAUGGCCUACCAAGGCGACGACGGGUAGCCGGCCUGAGAGGGUGACCGGCCACACUGGGACUGAGGUACGGCCCAGACUCCUACGGGAGGCAGCAGUGGGGAAUAUUGCACAAUGGGCGCAAGCCUGAUGCAGCGACGCCGCGUGAGGGAUGACGGCCUUCGGGUUGUAAACCUCUUUCAGCACAGACGAAGCGCAAGUGACGGUAUGUGCAGAAGAAGGACCGGCCAACUACGUGCCAGCCGCCGCGGUAA
rnacentral:rRNA from 1 species